GGGAAUUGGAUAUAUUUCAAGGAGUUUAUGUGGUUGGAAAAACAUUUUAGUACUUCAGAUGGUUUUAGAUACAUUACUCGAUAGAUGUUGUAUCUAGAAAUCUUUCUCCAUGUUUAUUCGAAAUGGAGGACUGCAAUAAGUAGAAUUGUUUUUUUUUCUAUUCUGCAGCUCUGUUGAGUUGGGAACGAGAAUGAGUUUUGUGUGUGAGGGUAUGGCGAUUAUAGAAAGAUUCUUUAAGUGAGUAGGUUAUCGUACAUACUGCCAUACAUCUUACUGCUCAAAGUACGUGCGAAUAAUAUGAUUAAACAGAGGAAAAACAGAGUACUCUAAUGGAGCUGAUUUAUAUGUAAGUAAUAUGAUGGAGCUUGAGUCGUCUAUCUCCCAUGUUUACGGUGUUGUGCAGUGUAGUAAAGACAUGUUCGUGCCUAAGCACAAGCCAAUCAAACAUAUGCUUAGGGCUUUGAAAAGUUAUAUUACUAUUAGAGGCCAACUUUGAACAGAAAUAACUAAAUAGCUAUGUUGGUAAUGUAUUUAUUAGAAUUAGAUAAGGUGUACAGUUCAGUUCCUCCCCAUAACAUUUUAAAUUUUCAUGGUUUUGGGGGCCAAAUAAAUAACUGGGCUCCGGGGCCUAAAUAUUUCAGGCACGGCCCUGAGUAAAGAUGUAUCUCUUGAAAACUGCACUCAUUGUCUGCAACAAAACGUGAUUGAGUAUAGGUCAAGUUGCGGUGGGACACAAGGAGGAACUAUUUCUAGGCCUAGCUGUUUCAUUCGGUGGGAGGUUUAUCCGCUCUUGGACCUUUUCGAUGAUAUUACUCCUGAGAAAGGUCAGAACGUGUUUGUAAUCUUUGUUGUUUGCUAGAUCAAAUGAUUAAAUCCAUAUCUUACCUUGUUUGUGGUUUUCUGCUCUGUUCUUGUUUUGGUGCCAAUAUUUUUCCUUCAUUGGUGGUUUUGGUUGUGCAGAUGGUAAAAACAUUUCUACAGAAACUACUGUGGCCAUUGUAUUGCUUGCUCUAGGAUUUACCUUUUGGAAGAGGAGAGAAGCAUGCAAAGCAUUUACGACUGAUUGUGAAUUCCCUUAAUUUCAAAAGAUAAUUUCAAAAUCAUUUUUUUUUUGUCUCUAUGUACUUCUAACACGGUUACUAUUUCUGUGUUACAAGAAGAUUUUGGAAGACAUAAUGGUAAAUGACUACUGGAUGCCACAAAAUUUUGUUUUAUCAUAACGCCAUGUAUACAUUUUUUCUGCAGCUGUGGAUGAUAUUACAACUUCAGGCUCACUUCAAUUUGAGUUUAAAGCAAUUGAAGCUGCCACAAGUAAUUUUCAUAAUAUAAUAAGCUUGGUUAUGGUGGAUUUGGUGAAGUUUACAAGAUAUAGUAUUUGUUCCACGUACUAUUUAUGUUACAUAGUUUGUACAAAACAGAUUCCGGUAGUUAAAUCAAGAAGAUCAUACGAAUUGACAGGGAACGUUUCCAAGUGCAACACAAGUUGCUCUGAAGAGGCUGACUAAAACGUCAGGACAAGAUGAAGAAGAGUUCAUGAACGAGGUGUUUCUUGUAGCUAAGCUUCAACAUAAGAUCUUGUUAGGCUUCUUGGGUUUUCUAUCAAAGGAGAAGAAAAGAUACUAGUCUACGAGUUCUUGCCUAACAAAAGUCUCGAUCACUUCCAUUUUGUCUUCCAGACCCGAAGAAGAAUAGUCAACUGGAUUGGUCAAAACGAUACAACAUUAUGGAGGGAAUUACUUGUAGGAUUUUAUAUCUUCAUCAAGAUUCACGGCUCACAAUUAUACAUUGUGACCUCGAAGCAUGUAAUAUUCUCUUGGAUGAAGAUUUGAACCCGAAGAUUCCAGAUUUUGGUGUGACUAGAAAAAUCGGUGUGGACCAAACUGAAGCUACCACAGGAAGAGUGGUUGGGACAUUGGCUUCCACGUUGGAUUACACCUCACUAAUUCGGAUGCUGUCAAGCUGACACGUGUCCACUUUAACAAAACACAACGUUUUAUUAAGGCGCUUUUAAACUCUGCUUUCCAUAGACAGCACCAGCCGCAAAAAUUUUUAAGGGUUUAGUGUUUUUCCACGACGAAUCGAAGAGUCAUUUUCUUCUUUAAUCUCUUGAGUAUCUAUAUUCCUCUAAAAUGGCUAAUUCAUCAAUCCUUUUCCUUUGAUUAAUUUUGUCGAAAUUAGACAUUCUGUAAACAACGUCUCCUUUUGGAGACUCCGCCAUACAAACUCACCGAUAGAAAAUUCUGGAAACGUAACGUUUCCAAUCGUCACCUUCGAUGGGCUCAUUAACAAGAUCUUUACUUCCCUUCUCAGAAUUUUUGACUAUAAAAGGUAUGUCUGGAUUUCAUCAGUAUUAUCCUCUCAAUUACUAGCUUUUCAAACAUCCCAGUGAUAACAAUGAUUUCGAUUUUGGUUUCUGGGAAAUGAUUUCAAUUUUGGUUUUGUUUGUUAACUUAGCUUACAUUUGUUCAUGUAUAGAUUAUCAUUUUUUAUUCCAGAGUUUUUGUGUAUCGAUGAAGAUUUAGAUUUGUUUGUUGAUCUCUUUGAUUGUUCCUUUUGAUUUCAUCAGUUUCGUCACCGGCUUGAUCGGAAAUCAAGUAAGCAAAUCACGAACAGGGAGAGAUGGGUUUGGGUUUGAUCUUGGACUCCACGAAGGAUGAUGUACCAGAUCCAUAUACUCGCGGAUAUGGUAGUUACUUAGCCUCGGACCCGAUAUGCUUCUUUUUUGAAAAAAAGCUCUUACAAGGCUUAGACCAUUGUGGAAUAAAGAUCUGAUUUUUUUUUUUAAUGUCCUCAACUUCUCCAUCUUUAAUGCUGUAGCCUGUAGCCUGUAUUUCCUGUACUCUCCAGUCUCUUUGUUAUGUAGCUAAGUGCUGGUCUUCUCAUCAUCAGAUGUUGUGGUCACUUCUUGGAAGUAAAGGGAGUGCUGUACAGUUAUGGACAUGGCUUCUCAAGGUUUUGCAGCGAAACUUACCAAGUCCCAAGCCAAACAAAUAACAGAUUUACCAGAAGUUGUUCAUGUCACACUUGAUAGUUUAUAUGAACCUUUCUGCUGCCAAUCCGAAAAAUCUUAAUAUGGUGAAGAAGUUAUCAUUGGCAAUGUUAACACAGGAGUGUGGCCCAAAUCUGAAGUCUUUAACGACAAUGGGAUCGGAGGGCUGCCAAAACGCUGGGAAGGAGGUUGUGAAUCACGAGAGGAUUUCAACUCCUGCAACAAAAAGCUCAUAAGAGCCAAAUAUUUAACCAACCCAUUCCUGGAACACAGUGUUUGCACUUUGCAUAUUUUCUUAAGUUUUUUCGAGAGGUAUCUUUUCCAAUUACCAUCUCCAUCUAAACGUUUUCUUUGAUUUUCAAAGGGCACUGACCAUUUAUAGUUAUUUUGGUCCUCAUGAUUUUUAGAAAUUACCAAUUAGGUUUACCCAUUAUGAGAUGCCUUUACAUUUUUGUAAAAGAUUUUGCUGGAAAUGAAUCUUAAAGGAAAGACACGAGACCAUGUUAACCUUUAAAGGAUUCUUUUGUUUUUUAAGGUCAGCCCAUGUUAUAUUUACUUCAGUUUUGUGCUUAAAAAUCUGCAAAGGGAGAAAAAAGUUUGUUGAUGAUCGUUUGCGUCUCUGUCAGUCCCUAGGUCAAAGCAAAUCUUAACUCUCCCAUUUUUUAUUUGAUUUGUUGUUUCAUGGAUGCUUAUUUCAAAUUUAAAGUGAAUUCCAAGUGAAACUAUGUACCGCCAAAAAGUAUAGGUAACCUAAGCAUUAUAUUUGUUUUCGUCCCUGUUCUAAGGUCUAUGUUUCAUUGAUUUUGAAGCAUAUUGGAUCACUUAUGUUGCUUUGUAAAACUAUGUUCAGUCCAAUGGAAUAAGGCGUAUCUCUUGAAAAAAUAUUAGAUCAAAGUAAUUAUAUUUCCGUUGGUCUGCUAGAAAUUUUGUGUAACAAAACAAAUCCACAUUUAAAUUUUCGUAACUAUACAAUUUCUAUGUGCAUCCCCUUCCGAAAUGUAAAACAUAAUAUUCUAUUAUUUCAAAGUCUUUCUAAAGAAAAAAAGAAUAAUAUAAGGUUAUACAAUACGUCUAUGUAAAAAAGUAAUAUAUUUUCAUGUAUAUAUAUAUAUAUAUAUAUUCAAAUUUUAGUUAUGUUUGAUAAUCGUAAAAUCAUUGAUGUGUGAGUGAAAUAAAAUUAAUAUAUUUAUAAAUCUACUCUUCAAAAAUUUCAUAGAAAAUAUCCUAAAUUUAUAAAACUCGCUUAAGAAACAUAUUAGUAGUAAAACCAUGUAUUUAAACAAAGUAAACAAACUUAUGAUCUUUAGAAAAUAACAAAAUAAAAUUAAAAUACAUUUAUAAUUACAGAUGCUCUUUCAUAUAUAAAAUGUUUUUAUAUUAUUUUUAAUGUAUUGUCCCGCCCGUUAGGGCGGGUUUAUGCUAGUUGUUGAUAAAGAAAAGUUGUACAUAUUUUACAGCGGAUACAUGCCACCAGAGUAUGUGACAAGUGGACAGUUCUCGACAAAAUCUGAUGUGUAUAGCUUUGGAAUAUUGGUUUUGUAGAUUAUUGGUGGAGAAAAGAAUAGUAGCUUCAACGAGAUAGACGGCUCAGUAAGCAACUUGGUCACAUAUGUUAGUAAAGGUCACAUAUAUUCGUAAAAUUCCGAAUGCCAUAUCAAACUUUCCUACUUGUUUUGGCAAUGAUAGUGGCGAUUAACAUUAUUUGAAUUUAUCCCACUGAUAAAGCUUCUUCAAUUUAUCCGCAAAUACCAUAUACUUUUGUAUAGCACUGGAACUCUUCUACUCGUAUCCUGAUAAUAAGGUUUUCCACAAAAUUUGAAUUUAUCGUGGUUCUCAUCCACUCUCCAAUGUAUCAUGUAGUUGUCGAUACAUACAUCUAUCACCAGAUACAGUAAAUUAAGACCCGCUACAAGAUUAUCCUCUGGUAGAACACCUCUAACAAAAUCAGCAAUCACAUCCAUGCAUUCUUCAGCCAAAAGUAUAAUAUGUUUUAAUACCCAUCAAUCUAGUUGCAUAUGAUAAAGGUGAAUGACCAUCUCUACAUCUUUUGUACAAAGGUUAUUUUCCUGUUUCCAACAUAUCAAAAAAUCUCCUAGUUUCUGCAUUUGGUUCUUCCUUUCUAUAAUUAUCAUUUACCAUCUUUUCAAUACCUACACCAUAAUCUACAUUCGUUCAAGGUUCUUCUAACCUAUCCACAGUCUGAGGUUCGCUAGUACUACCAUAUUCAUAACCAGUAGUUUUUCCAAGAAGAUGCCAAAACUUAUAAUUUGGUGUAAACCCUUUCAAAUAUAAAUGAGUCCAAACAUCCCAUUCUUUUAAACUCCUAUUAUUUUUCCAGGAAAAGCAAGGACAUCUUAACAUACUGGUAUUUGUUCCCGGUUGUCGUUGAACUAACGUCAUUAAUUCGCUAAUGUCUUUUGCAUAUUCUUCCGUAAGUAAGUUGGCGCUUGGAUCCAUAUGAGGUUUAUCAAUCUACGAACAAAAAUAAUUUGGAGAAGACAUGAUUUUUUCGGAUUUGUAGAAUGAAGAGAAUGAAUAAAGAAUGAAGAGUGAAUGAGGAGAAUGAGAGGAGCUCACGUAUUUACAAAAGAAAGCUGCCGACACUUCCGACGGAUUUCCAACGGCUACAUUAAAUGUUGUCAAAAUUCCGUCGGAAAAUUUGAAAUAUCAAACAGUUAUAAAUGGUCAACAAGUGUUGUCGGAAUUUUGUCGGAAGUUUUCAGAACAUUCGUCAGAAAACCCAAUAUUUCAAAAUAUUUGCAAGGGUCAAAAAUGUUCGUCGGAAAUUCGUCGAAAUGUAGUUUCGACGAAUUUCUGUAGGAAUAUUCGUACGAAUUUCCGACGACUCUCAAAAAAGUCAAAUCAUCAGAUUAUUGUAGGAAACAACUUUGAAUAUUCCGACGAAAAUACAUUCUGUCGGAAUUUUUCUAGUUUUCUUGUAGUGUUAAGUAGUAAAAUACUUAAGUACUUGAGUUUCAAGUAGUAGUUUUAAAAUAGUAGAUGAGUUGUGUUACAAAUAAAAAGUAGUUAAGUAUUAAUCUUUGCACUUAGUUCCUUCCAUUUAUGAUGGUAUCAUACAGAUGAACUUGUGAAACAUCGGGAGAGUCUGGUCAAGUUACAUGACAGUAAACGUAAAGGGAAUUGAGCUUUUUUACAAAAGCAUAAAAAUCCUCGGACACUUUCUAUUGCUGAGUUCAUAUGCAUGGAAUAUGGAGCUAAACCUUCCAAUUGUCCACAAACCAUAAUCUUCAGUAGAAAUAUCUGAGCUGUACUAAUAAUAGCUCAUUGUACAGCCUUCCUCACAAGCAUGUAAGUUAUGCUUAGAAUGGUCAAACAAUGUGUUGUUUGAAGGAAACCAAACUUUACUUACUGACUGGGACUGUGUACAGAACGUAAAUGUAAAAUGGAAACAGCUUCGCUUAGACGAAUCUUUGUUCAUUGUUGGUGUGUAAUACUUUAAUAAUCUUGAAUACAUUGAUAUAUUCUUUUUCUUUAACGAGGAGCUACACUAGUAAUGGACGCAUCAUCAACGGAACAGUGAGCAGAGAUAUGCAUGGAUGGACCUGAAUCACCUGAUCUCCCUACUUCUUCAUGCCUGCGUCCGAAGAAAAUUCCAGGUGGUUGAGGCACGGCGAGAUCGAUCAAACUCGUAGUGAGCAUCUGGACAUUUCUGACAAAGUUGGACGAUCUUCAGCUUCUUCUUGAACACACAGCAAAGCGAUAUGAAUGCACCUGGUAAUUUCGUUUGUUUCAUAGUUAUCCUGAAAUAACGGAUCCAUGAGUUCUAACGGCGAUCCAUUGUCCCACAGUCUCCAAGUCUGUUGAACAUAUGAAUAAUUAAAUCUUUGGUCAUCAUCGAAGAAAGCAGAAAAUAAUGGAAGUUUAAAGGCUCUAUACUCACAUAUGUAAUCAAAUUGCCAGCACUACCAUCCAUUUGAUAGAGGCUACUGUUCUUCUUGCCGCUAAUAAUAGACCCCAAAACUAUACACAUCUGAUUUCAUGGAAAAUUGGCCAUACAUUGCAUACUCUGGAGACAUGUAACCACUGCUACAAAACUUAAACGCUGAGCUAACAAUAAGUAUAUUACAUUCGACAAAGAAAAUAUGCAAUUCUCUCAAAUAGCUAAUUUUCAAGUUUUUGUGACCAAAAGAGAUUCCAAAGAUGAAAAUGGCUAAAAAAAGUUUCAUUAAAGAAAACAGAGUUUUUUUUAUCCCUUACUUUAUAGAUAUAUAAAUAUAAAUUAAAAAUAUAUAGUUUUGAAUUAUAUGUUUUCAAAUUUGAUUUUUUUAAUAUUCAAUUUUUCUUUUUGAAAUUUGAAAAUAUUUUUUGAAACUAUUUUUUAAUUUUUUU